AUUGAACGCUGGCGGCAUGCUUUACACAUGCAAGUCGAACGGCAGCGGGUCCUUCGGGAUGCCGGCGAGUGGCGAACGGGUGAGUAAUGCAUCGGAACGUACCCAGUCGUGGGGGAUAACGUAGCGAAAGUUACGCUAAUACCGCAUACGACCUGAGGGUGAAAGUGGGGGACCGCAAGGCCUCACGCGGUUGGAGCGGCGGAUGUCAGAUUAGCUAGUUGGUGGGGGAAAGGCCUACCAAGGCGACGCGCUGUAGCGGGUCUGAGAGGAUGAUCCGCCACACUGGGACUGAGACACGGCCCAGACUCCUACGGGAGGCAGCAGUGGGGAAUUUUGGACAAUGGGGGCAACCCUGAUCCAGCCAUGCCGCGUGCGGGAAGAAGGCCUUCGGGUUGUAAACCGCUUUCGGACGGAAAGAAAUCGCCUUGGCUAAUACCCAGGGUGGAUGACGGUACCGUAAGAAGAAGCACCGGCUAACUACGUGCCAGCCGCCGCAGUAACAC
rnacentral:rRNA from 1 species